rnacentral:piRNA from 1 species
UCCACAGUACCUUGUAAACAUACAGAUGAAA